rnacentral:lncRNA from 1 species
CUCAGCCCUCUCCCCCUAGGCCGGACAGGCCUGCUGAGGUGGAGCAGUGUCCAGCCAGAGUUCUGUUCCUUUCACAGCCAGAAACAAAGAGAGCCAGAAGCUCUCAGGCUUAGGGUUAAAACGUGGUAUUUACAAAGGUAAUCUUACUUUUCAAUGGUCUAAAAUGCUGUCAGUUCUGAGAACUGGUUAGAUACUGUCCAGGUCUCAGGCAGAGAAGAAACUCCCAGCUGCCUCUGUCAGAGCCAUCACGUCCAUGGGUGUUUUCCCACUUUUUUUUCCCUAAAUGCCAACCCACCACAUGUGACAAUGUUGAAGGAAAACUCAAAUUCUUAAGAUGGAAGAGUUGAAUGAUGAAUGUGAACAAUGAACAUGAACAAUAAGUAUUACCUGCAUAAAUGAGCAAUGAAAUCUCUGGAGUCAUGACAGCUUUGAACAGAAUCUAAAUUA